rnacentral:rRNA from 1 species
CAGCCGCCACGGUAAUACGAAGGGGGCUAGCGUUGUUCGGAUUUACUGGGCGUAAAGGGCGCGUAGGCGGGCGAAUAAGUCAGGGGUGAAAUCCCAAGGCUCAACCUUGGAACUGCCUUUGAUACUGUUUGUCUUGAGUUCGAGAGAGGUAAGUGGAACUGCGAGUGUAGAGGUGAAAUUCGUAGAUAUUCGCAAGAACACCAGUGGCGAAGGCGGCUUACUGGCUCGAAACUGACGCUGAGGCGCGAAAGCGUGGGGAGCAAACAGGAUUAGAUACCCCGGUAGUCCCUGUCUCUUAUAA